UAGUACACUUAAAUUUAAUUAGAAACAUUAGAAUAUUAAAAGUUAUGUUCUUUAAAUUUAAAAAAUUUGGCGGUGUUUUAGUCUAGUUAGAGGAACCUGUUUUAUAAACGAUACAACACGCAUUAUUUUACUUAUUUUAGUAGAUCAGCUUGUAUACCGUCAUUAUAAGAUAAUUUAAGAGAGAAUAUUAUUGAGAUCAUAUUAUUGAGUAUAUUAGAUCAAGGUGCAGCUUAUGAGUAAGAAAAUAUGGGUUACAAUAAAAUUUAUUUAAUAUGAAUUAAGUGUUUAAAUAUAUUUAUGAAGGAGGAUUUAAUUGUAAGAGGGGAGUAGUGAGCUUUUCUGAUAAAAGCUCUAAAUUAU
rnacentral:rRNA from 1 species